UACAGGAACACAGAUAUUUUAUCUCAUUGAUGAGGCAUUUCAGUCUGUUGGAAAAGGGGCCAAAAGUGUGGCCUAAAUGCUCCAUCACCACUUUAGCCAUCUUGGUUAUGGAGAGAGGAAUGUCGUUCUCCAUAUGGACAACUGUCCGGAGACAAAACAAGAAUAACGCAGUCAUAGAGUAUGGCAUUUGGCGUGUGCUUACAGGCUUGCACGACUAUUGAGUUUAGCACCAUGGAGGCCGGACAUACCAAAUUUAGCCAGACUGGCACUUUGGACUAUGGAAGGUGCGUUGGAGGAAUACCACGGUUGACACAUUGGGAGAUGUGGCUGAGACUGUAAGGGCAUCAUCCAGCAAUGGGCACACCAUUCCACACCUGGUGCAAGAUCUGGAGAAUCCUGUCCAGUUUUACAACUGGACAGAAUUCUUGAAACCAUUUUUCAAGUCCAUCCCAAACCUGCUCUCAUACCAUCACUUCAGAAUAACGUCUGACAAACCAGGAAUGGUUUUCAUGGGACAAUAUGCUUCUGAUGAUGAGGUGGCAGAGAUGAUCCUGAAGAAAGAUGUUCUUAAUGGAAUGCCCUCCCAAUUGUAGCCACUUGGCUUGUCAGCAGUACGCCAAUGGUACCUCCAUGAGGCAAUCGGGCCACUGUGCAAUUCAAACUGUGCCAGUUCAUGUCCCCGUCCAGAUGUACCAAAGCCCAAGAAAUAAAAACAAUGUGAAAAUAUUUACCCUGUUUUCAAAUGUUUUACAUGUAUUUAAUGUAUGGUAACCAUGGAAACCUUACUGCAUCUCAUGUAAUCUUCAGUCACAUUAGUACAUAUAAAAAAAAUCUAGCCAUGCCUAGAGACCAGGUUAAAUGAAAUAAAAUGAAGUAAAGCAAUUAAUAUUAUUGUCAAAUUAAAAAUGUAAUAGUUGUGUUUAUACAUGUGUUAGCUGAAAACAUUAAUUUAAAGUAAAUAUUUACUUUAAGUCUCUAAAUCUUGUCUCUAUUUUUUAUGCUGUGUGUAAUACAGUAUAAAUGCAAUAUGUAGAAAUUGUUGAUUGCAUUUGAUAAUAAAAAAGUAGAAUUGUUGCUAUGUUAAAUGAAGAAGAUGGUAAUUUAGCUGAUUAUCAUAUUAUAUAUGGUUGCUAUGGUUACAACAAAAAUAUUCUGUAUAUAUAAUGUAUUAAUUCAAAUGUUUUUAAUUAAUUAACAAUGUCUCAUGCAAAAUAUAAUGUUUCUUUGUACAGUUUUAAGCAGAACAUUUCAAAUUUGUUAAAUGGCUCGUAUGUUAAACCUUAGCAAGUGAAUUCUAUUUUAUUGAAUUUCUGUAAGAGUCUGUGACCAAUAUCACAUAGUUAUAGAUACAGCAUGUACACAAUUAUUUGAUUCAUGUAUUAAUUAAUUGUUUUUGGAUAUUUAUAUUAUCUUCUUACAUUGAAUGUGUGAGCAAAAACAUGUGUAAUUAUUUUGUAACAAAAUUUCUAUUAUAGUUAAUUUUUGGCAAAUGGUUGCUAUGGUAACAGAAAUUUGUUUUGUUAUGUUCUUAUUAAUUUAUAUUAAUUAAAUAGGACACUUGUUUUCCUUAUAGAUGGAUACUUAGUAUGUGAUUUUCCUAUGCAAACAAAAAUGUAUUGAACCAUCAUGCAAUAGACUUACUGACAUGAAAAUAAAUGAAUAGCAUGUCAAAUUUUGUGUUUUGCUGGUUAUUUGUAACAUCACAUUUUUAACAUUAA